UGUUUAAUUUCUAGUGAUAAUUUCUAGGAACAAGGCACAAAGGUUCUUUCUUAUGCACAGCAAGUCCAAGCAAAACAUCAGUAUCAAUGUCUUCUAUGUUCAUUCCAGGAGGCAACUCCCAAUCAAAAGCGUAAAGAAGAUUGGAAAGUACAAAGUUCCACAGUUGUCACACCAAGUGCCAUAGCCGGGCACCCUCUUCUUCCUGCUCCAAAUGGAAUUAACUCAAAAUUUUGGCCCUUAAAAUCAAUAUCACUAUUCAGGAACCUUUCCGGUAUAAAUUCUUCUGGAUUUUCCCAUAUUUCAGGAUCCCUUGCAAUAGCCACAAAAUUAACAUGAACUAUCGUUUUUGGUUGAAUUUCAUAUCCUUCUAGUAUGGAAUUUUGCAUCGUCUCUCUUGGUACUAACAAUGGACCUGGUGGAUACAAUCUAAAUGUCUCCUUUAUCACUGCUUUAAAAUAUGGAAGAUCUUGGAUAUCAUCUUCAUUCACUAUAAACUUUUUCCCAACCGAUUCUCUAAUUUCUGCUUGAACUUUCUUCAUGGCAUUCGGUUUGGCUAUCAAGGCUGUCAUUGCCCAAACUACUGUAGCUGCACUAGUGUCCGUUCCACCAACUAGCAUAUUCUACAAGUGAGAAUGGAGGAUAAAACUAUAAGAAACAUUUCAUAUAUCAACUGAAGUGUUUUCCUAAUCAUGAAAGGUUAUGUGUAAUAUUACAAGUUUAAAAGGCAUUUCUUAAUAUUUGACCAAAAACUUUCUAUAUAUCAUGAUUGCACCACCAAUAUGACCAUGGAAUAAAAACACUUAGUUGUAUGACAGAGUACUAAUACCUAGUCAAUAAAUAUAAAUACAUACACAAGACUUGCUUAUAUACAAUUUUUAACAUCUAACCCUGAUUAAUUUAUAAAAUUUUCACUUCAACUUGUUAAUUCAUUUCUAAGGUUAACUAUUUAGUUGGGUGUAAGCAGUCGAUGAGAGCAAGUAAAAUAGACACAAAUAGAGUAGUUCAUUACCAUAAUAAGAGCCUUUAUGUUGUCUAAGGUAAGAUCGAUUGGAGUUGAUUUCUCUUUCUUCAAUUGGAGCAAAAGAUCAAUAAUACCCCCUUCCAUGGAUUUUGGCCUAUUGGGAUUGAGAUGUUGCUCAAUGAGUCCUUCAUAAAACUCAUCCAAAUCCUUAAAAUUCUUUUCAAGUUUAUUUAUUUUUUCGGAGAGUUUAUCAAUCCAUCCUAAGAGAGGAAAAUAAUCAGAGACAAAAAACCCAGCCAACAUUUCUUCAGUCACUUUUAAAAGUUCACCAAAUUUCCUCCCUUCGCGUGUUUGUUCACCAUACCUAAUACCAAAAGCAAUUCUACAAAUAAUUGUAGUUGCAAGUGAAAUCACUAUAUUGCUCAAAUUUGUAAUUUGUGAAGUGUGAGCCUUUAAAAAUAUUUUUUUGAUCAUUCUUGCUCCUUCAUCUUCACGAAUUGGACGAUAAUAUUGCACUUUCUUGAGACUAAAUAAAUGAACAACACAUAUUUUUCGAAGUUCUCUCCAAUAGUCAUUGUAAGGUGACACGCCAAUAUCUUGACCAUUGUAAGACAAUUUUUGCUGGCCAAGAAUUGAAGGUCUACUACAAAAGGCUAAAUCUUGUAUGUGUGUUACCUCUUUUGCUAGAUUUGCUGAAGAAACUACAAUCAUAGUAGAAGAACCAAGUUUUAAAGAGAAUAUUUUUCCAUAUUUCUUAGAAAGUUUCCAAAAGUAGAGAUGAGGGGUUAAACCAUCAAAUUGAUGCAAAUUUCCAAUGAAUGGCAACCCUAAAGGGCCUGGUGGUAGAAUGUUUUUUCCAUUCCUUUUGGCUUUAGGAAGAAGGAAACUGAGAAUAAUGAUGAUAAGAAGGGCUACAAAGAGUGGAAACAACAUCAUGUGUUUUGUUUGGAAAAGUCACUCGAAAUGUCUUCUAUAUCUUGUAAUAAGAUUUUCUACAAUUACUUCCAUUUAUAGUACUUUUUUUGUAUUAAUUUGUUUGGCUUGAUUCGUAGUACGAAGUCAAACUAACUAAUGUUUAGUGUGAAUUCGAACAUAAAAUCAUGAUUGUAAUGAAAGUGAUAAAGGAAAAUUCACAGUCCACAAUAUUUUAUUUUAUUUUUAAUGCCUUGUCAUUACCAUUAAUGUGGAUUGUGGACUCUUGUAAUCCACAGUCCACAAUAUUAAAGCGUGAAAAAUGACCUUUGUCCAAAUAUUUGUCUCACCAAUGAUUUCAGAACAUUAGACAAAGGCAAUUUGAUAACGUAAUAAACUCAGAAAUGUCAAAGCUUUAGUUUGUGUCCAAAAUUGGGAUUCAUUCAUUGUCAAGAAAAAGGAAUUCAAAAUUAAAUUUUGCAUCAGAAUAGGAUUAUAACCAACGCACUUAAUUCCUAGAGAAUUAGUAAAUUAGCUACCAAAUUUUUGCGACAUCCUUUGGAACUAGAAGGGAGAUUUUAUUCAAACAACUACUCCAUUACAAGUUUAUAACGAAAAAUGACAGACAUAAAACCAUACAACCAUAUUAUUAAACAUGGAUAACUAAUUUAAACACUAGAGUUUGGUCUUGUUUAAUUUCUAGGAACAAGGCACAAAGGUUCUUUCUUAUGCAUUGCAAGUCCAGGCAAAACAUCAGUGUCAAUGUCUUCUUUUUUCAUUCCACAAGGCAACUCCCAAUCAAAAGCGUAAAGAAGAUUGGAAAGUACAAGUUCCACAGUUGCCACACCGAGUGCCAUAGCCGGGCACCCUCUUCUGCCUGAUCCAAAUGGAAUCAGCUCAAAAUUUUGGCCCUUAAAAUCAAUAUCACUAUUCAGAAACCUCUCCGGUAUAAAUUCUUCUGGAUUUUCCCAUAUUUCAGGAUCCCUUGCAAUAGCCCAAACAUUAACAUGAAUUAUGUUUUGGUUAAUUUCAUAUCCUUCUAGUAUGGAAUUUUGCAUCGUCUCUCUUGCUAUUAACAAUGGACCUGGUGGAAACAAUCUAAAUGUUUCUUUUAUCACUGCUUUAAAAUAUGGAAGAUUUUGGAUGUCUUCUUCAUUCACUAUGGACUUUUUACCAACUAUUUCUCGAAUUUCAGCUUGAACUUUCUUCAUGGCAUUUGGUUUAGCUAUCAAGGCUGUCAUUGCCCAAACUACUGCAGCUGCGCUCGUGUCCGUUCCACCGACUAGCAUAUUCUACUUGAGCAAAUGUGAGGAUAAAAUUAAAUGCAACAAUUCAUAUCAAUUGAAAUUUUUUCCUAAUCAGAAACAGUUAUUGUAACGGCCAGCGCGCUAGUGAUAUUAUAUUGUCCAUUUUGGACCUAGAUCCGCACGACUUUAAAACGCGUCACUGUUUGGCAAGGUCUGAUUACUUAUAUACCCAACAUCACUCAAGUGUUUUGCCGAUGUGAGACUUCUUAUCUUAAGGUGGGGUGUUACAGUCAUAACAUGUGUAAUAUCACAAGUUUAAAAGGCACUUCUUAAUAUUUGAUAAAAAAGUUUCUUUAUAUUAUGAUCGUGUCACAAACAUGACCAAGGAAAAAACUUAGUUGUAUGAAAGAGUGUUAAUACCAAGUCAAUAAAUAUAACAAUACAAAAGACUUGCUUAUAUACAAUUUUAAACAUCUAAUUAACCAAUGAUUAAUUGAUAUGAAUUUUCACUUCAAUUUGUUAAUUCAUCUGUAAGGUUAACUGUUUAGCUAGGUGUAAGCCGUCAGCUAGAGCAAAUAUAAAAAAUAGACAAAUAGAGUAGUGCAUUAGUCAUUACCAUGAUAAUAGCCUUUAUGUUUUCCAAAGUAAGAUCAAUUGGAGUUGAUUUCUCUUUCUUCAAUUGGAGCAAAAGAUCGAUAAUAUCUCCUUCCAUGGAUUUUGGCCUAUUGGGAUUGAGAUGUUGCUCAAUGAGUCCUUCAUAAAACUCAUCCAAAUACUUAAAAUUCUUCUCAAGUUUAUUUAUUUUUCCGGAGAGUUUAUCAAUCCAUCCUAAGAGAGGGAAAUAAUCAGAGACAAAAAAGCCUGCCAACAUUUCUUGAGUCACUUUUAAAAGCUCGCCAAAUUUCCUCCCUUCGCGUGUUUCUUCAUCAUACCUAAUACCAAAAGCAAUUCUACAAAUAAUUGUAGUUGCAAGUGAGAUCACUAUAUUGCUCAAAUUUGUAAUUUGUGAAGUGGAGGCUUGCUGAGAUAUUUUCUUGAUCAUUCUUGAUACUUCAUCUUCACGAAUUGGACUAAAAUAUUGUACUUUAUUGAGACUAAAUAAAUGAACAACACAUAUUUUUCUGAUUUCUUUCCAAUAGUCAUUGUAAGGCGACAUAGCGAUAUCUUGACCAUUGUAAGACAAUUUUUGCUGGCCAAGAAGUGAAGGUCGACUACAAAAAGCUAAAUCUUGUGUCUUCGUUACUUCUUCUGCUAGAUUUGCUGAAGAAACUACAAUCAUAGUAGUAGAACCAAGUUUCAAUGAGAAAAUGUUUCCAUAUUUUUUGGAAAGUUUCCAAAAAUAUAGAUGAGGGGUUAAACCAUCAAAUUGAUGCAAAUUUCCAAUGAAUGGCAGCCCUAAAGGGCCUGGUGGUAGAAUGUUUUUUCCAUUCUUUUUGGCUUUAGGAAAAAUAAAACUGAGAAUGAUGAUGAUAAGAAGGGUUACAAAGAGUGGAAAGAACAUCAUGUGUUUUUUUUUUUGAAAAAGUCACUUGUAUUCUAUAUCUUGUAUUAAGAUUUUCUACGAUUUCUUUUAUUUAUAGUACUCCUUCUGUUUUAAUUUGUUUGACUUGAUCUCGCAGUACGAGAUCAAACAAACUACAUGUUCUGUUUGAAUUCGAACAUAGAAUGUUUAUUUUAUUUUUUAAAAAUUACAUAAAAAUAUUAUAAAUCACAAUAUUUAAAAAGCAUUUGAAGAAAAAUAUAUUACACAAAACAAUACAUUAUUUAACUAUUCAAAUAGUAUAACAAAGGAAGUAGCAGUAACGAAGCUGGGACUUUGGAUCGAGGGCUGUGAUAAUAUUUAUGAAAAUAGAUAUUUAAAAAAAUAUGUAAAUAGAAAGAAAUUUGUCAUUUAAAGUUGGAAAAAAUGACAUUGCAUUUAUAAGCUAAGUGAUAGACUAUACUUUUCACGAUUCUUUAAUAUUCAUGAAAGUGACACAGGAAAAUUAUCUAGAUAUUUAUCUCACCAAUGAUUUCAUAGCAUUAAUUAAACAAAGGUAAUUUGAUAACGUAAUAAAUAAUUGAUAUUGUUUCCUAUUAGAAUUAGGGGAAGGAAUUGAUAAACUCAAAACUAUCAAAGCUUUAGUUUGGGUCCAAAAUUUUGGAUUAAUACAUGGUCAAGGAAAAGAAAUUCUAAAUUAAAUAAUGAAGAAGGGGUAAAGGUUAUAGUAUAUUGGAAUCUCACAUCGAUCUGAAUGGUGGAGGAAACUAAGAAACUUUAUAAAGAAUAACAUAAGUUCAUAUGAUAUAUACAGUUUUUGAGCUCAGUGAUAUUGGCAUAGCCAAGGAAGAAAUAUAUGAGUUUUAUUGGGAAAUGUAGAUAAUACAUGUUUUUCAAUUGGGCUAUGAAAAAUAUGAUAUUAAUAGAACAUUCCCUAUGAAUGAUAUUACCUUAGUUAGGUAGUAGGACAAACCUCACCUAGAACUUUCUGAAGGAGUAUAGUCGUAAGGCGUGUUUGGCCAAAACAAACAAUAUAUGUCGCGUGUGCUUGAGCUGUGACAAUAAAGGCAAUAAUGUUCUCCAUAGGUAUUGCACUUGGUGUUGCAACAGUACUAGAGCUUAUUAACUUUUGUGAUAAAGAUAACAGACAUUCUACUUGGAAUUAUUACGCAUAGGAAAAAUGCUCUUCUUUUCAUUUUUCCGCGAUAUCUUUUGGAACUAGAAGAGAGAUUUUAUUGAUAACUAAAACCAUACGACCAUAUUAAACAUGGAUAACUAACAAAGUUAUACAUACAUAUUUAACUAAUUUAAACACUGGAGUUUGGUCUUGUUCAAUUUCUAGUGAUAAUUUCUAGGAACAAGGCACAACGGUUUUUUCUUAUGUGGUAUGAUUCCAGGCAAAACAUCAGUGUCAAUGUCUUUUAUUUUCAUCCCACGAGGCAACUCCCAAUCAAAAGCGUAAAGAAGAUUGGAAAGUACAAGUUCCACAUUUGCCACACCAAGUGCUAUACCUGGGCACCCUCUUCUACCUGCUCCAAAUGGAAUCAACUCAAAAUCUUGGCCCUUAAAAUCAAUAUCAUUAUUUAAGAACCUCUCAGGUAUAAAUUCUUCUGGAUUUUUCCAUAUUUCAGGAUCCCUUCCAAUUGCCCAAGCAUUAAC
rnacentral:lncRNA from 1 species